rnacentral:rRNA from 1 species
GACGAACGCUGGCGGCGUGCUUAACACAUGCAAGUCGAACGGGAAGGCCCUGCUUUUGUGGGGUGCUCGAGUGGCGAACGGGUGAGUAACACGUGAGUAACCUGCCCUUGACUUUGGGAUAACUUCAGGAAACUGGGGCUAAUACCGGAUAGGAGCUCCUGCUGCAUGGUGGGGGUUGGAAAGUUUCGGCGGUUGGGGAUGGACUCGCGGCUUAUCAGCUUGUUGGUGGGGUAGUGGCUUACCAAGGCUUUGACGGGUAGCCGGCCUGACAGGGUGACCGGCCACAUUGGGACUGAGAUACGGCCCAGACUCCUACGGGAGGCAGCAGUGGGGAAUAUUGCACAAUGGGCGGAAGCCUGAUGCAGCAACGCCGCGUGCGGGAUGACGGCCUUCGGGUUGUAAACCGCUUUCGCCUGUGACGAAGCGUGAGUGACGGUAAUGGGUAAAGAAGCACCGGCUAACUACGUG